GCAGUGGUGGUUCAGGGUAGAAUUCUCACCCUCCAUGCUAGAGACCCGGGUUUGAUUCCCAGCCGAUGCA
rnacentral:tRNA from 1 species